rnacentral:rRNA from 1 species
CCUACGGGAGGCAGCAGUGAGGAAUAUUGGUCAAUGGGCGCGAGCCUGAACCAGCCAAGUAGCGUGAAGGAUGACUGCCCUACGGGUUGUAAACUUCUUUUAUCAAGGAAUAAAGUGAGGCACGUGUGCCUUUUUGUAUGUUCUUUAUGAAUAAGGAUCGGCUAACUCCGUUCCAGCAGCCGCGGUAAUACGGAGGGUCCGAGCGUUAUCCGGCUUUAUUGGGUUUAAAGGGAGCGUAGAUGGGUUGUUCAGUCAGUUGUGAAAGUUUGCGGCUCAACCGUAAAAUUGCAAUUGAUACUGGCAGGCUGGAGUACAGUUGAGGUAGGCGGAAUUCGUGGUGUAGCGGUGAAAUGCUUAGAUAUCACGAAGAACUCCGAUUGCGAAGGCAGCUUACUAAACUGCCACUGACAGUGAGGCUCGAAAGUGUGGGUAUCAAACAGGAUUAGAUACCCUAGUAGUC